GAUGAACGCUGGCGGCGUGCCUAAUACAUGCAAGUCGAGCGAACAGACGAGGAGCUUGCUCCUCUGACGUUAGCGGCGGACGGGUGAGUAACACGUGGAUAACCUACCUAUAAGACUGGGAUAACUUCGGGAAACCGGAGCUAAUACCGGAUAAUAUAUUGAACCGCAUGGUUCAAUAGUGAAAGACGGUUUUGCUGUCACUUAUAGAUGGAUCCGCGCCGCAUUAGCUAGUUGGUAAGGUAAAGGCUUACCAAGGCAACGAUGCGUAGCCGACCUGAGAGGGUGAUCGGCCACACUGGAACUGAGACACGGUCCAGACUCCUACGGGAGGCAGCAGUGGGGAAUCUUCCGCAAUGGGCGAAAGCUUGACGGAGCAACGCCGCGUGAGUGAUGAAGGUCUUCGGAUCGUAAAACUCUGUUAUUAGGGAAGAACAAAUGUGUAAGUAACUAUGCACGUCUUGACGGUACCUAAUCAGAAAGCCACGGCUAACUACGUG
rnacentral:rRNA from 1 species